CACAAACCCAGAGGGAUCCAAAACUGCAAAUAGUGUUUGGAAAUGUUCAUGUUUAGCCUCACGUGUUCUGGUGGUGGUCCUCAGCAUCACAGAGACAGAUAAAACAGCAGCAUCAAGCAACUCUUUACCGUCCUCGGCUUCUUCUGUGAUUGAUUACAUAGCUGGAGGCUGGACCAGGCUGGACCAUGUUCCCGUCAGACCUUCGGGCCAGUAGAUGUGCUUGAGCAGCGUCCGGGGGCUAUACAAGACGGCUGGAUUAGCGGGCCGAGGGACCUUCGCUGUCACACACCUGCUGCAAGUCCGUGGCGCGCUGCCAGCCGAGGUCAGUUAGCCCGCCAGCCGCAUUACCCUGGCAGCAGUUGCCAAGGUGACAGCAUGUCAGAGCCUGCCCAUUGAGGAGUACGGGGGGCCGACGGCCGACGCAUCGCUGCCUCCGACCGGCCCCUGGAACCUGAGGAAGCGGGAGGCCGAAGGCGCGCAUUCGAACGCUUAGCAACAAAACUGACUCCACACGUGCCGAGGGCCAGAGCGCCGGAGCCUAAAUCAUUAAAUCUCCGCAUUAGAGAUUCUAAGCGAGUCUAACGCACUUUCCAGCUCGGUUUAGAAUGAGAGCAGUUAAUUCGACAGGCAACGGCCUUAAAUAUGGAUAUGAGCGUGUGUGUGUGUGUGUGUGUGAGAGAGAGAGUGAAAGACACAAGCAGAGAACAGGAGGUGAAAGGUGUUUCUGCUUUUGUUGUAGCUAUCACAUUAACUGGAGGAUGUGAAGCAGAGGGGAAAUAAGCUGUAGGCUCUGUGGUUUAAUAGAUUACUUACAAUUGGACACAGGUAUUUGGAGUUAGCCAUUAUACCCUUGAGGCCCCCAAAAAGGUAAAAGAAACAUCACAAUCCAGCCAAAUCUGCCGCCGCUUCUCGUCCCAGCUCCUUUGUGUUUUCGUAAAAAACAAACAUGUUCGUUUAGCGUUUUUUUCCAGAACGCGCGCGACGCAGCCGCGAAUAUUUGCAUCGGCGUGUUUUCGCCGAUUCUGAAGAACACUUACGCAUUAUCAAGAGCCCUUUCGAGCAUAAGCUCUUUUAAAUUCAACUCAUUGUAGUCACGGCGCAAUUUGUUAAGGUCAAAUCUUUGUCUGAACGGAUUGAGUCGGAAUUGUAUUGAGGUCAUCAAAAAGCACAAAGCCAUAUCUCUUCAAGGACGCAUCUGAAUUUCAGCUAAGCUCUCAGAGCCUCAAUCUCCCUCGGAAAAGAAUGGAAAAAAUGUAGCCCUAAACCCAUCGAAUAAGGUCUCGGGGCGUCGGAGAACGGCCCCAGCAGGCCUCUCCUGAAAUGCUAUUACAGUAUGCACCCGGGCCCCGUCGCGGAGGCUGAAUUCAAUAUACACGAGUGGCCUACACGACGAGCCAUUUGGCAGCUCGAGAAAAUCAUCCUCGAUACAUAUUCGGGAUUGUUUGGUUUUUAAUCUGCCGUUCUCGAGCGGGAUUCGGUUGGGAUGUCAAAUCCAAAUUGUCACUUCAGAGAGAUUUCUCCUUGGACCACGUGGUUGUUGUUGUUAUUAUUAUUAUUAUUAUUAUUAUUAUUACGGGCGACAAAACGGCUGAACAACAAAAUCCUUUCAUAGAUGAGAGGAUACUUUUCACUUUCUCCGCGCUCGUGUUUCACCGUACUCGUUGGGGGAUAAGUGCAGGAAUUCCUGUUGUUCAAUCCUCUCCAAACAUGUCACAUGCGACGUAGAGGAGAGUUUACGGGCUGAAAUAAAAGUAGCUAAUUGAUGCAAUACACCAAGGACGUAAUUAUCUCUUUGAAUAACUGGCGGUGGUUUAAUUGCUGGUAAUUGUUCUCCAAACCUUGUUCAGAAGUGAUGAACACAAGACUGUUAUUAUGCAUCAUGUGUUAAUCCUGCUAUUCUGGCUUAGUCAUUAGGGCUUCUGUAUCAAAGCGCCACGAUAAGGGCGGCAGAGAGGGAAAAAUAUCUCCCGCGCACACACAAUGUACACGCAUGGCCGUGACACAACGCGUUAUAGUUCCUACACAUUCACCUAAACGGAAAUAAACACAAACUCGUGCCACCUUUUUGCGGUCCUUCUUUUUUUUUUCUGCUGUCGCACGCUCCGGUGCGGAUUUUUCUCUCAGAUGUCAUAUUUAUAACAGUGGGGUUUCUGUUAUCCUGUGUUUGCUGUUAAUUAUUGCCACAUUGCAACACCAGACUCGGAGCUCUACAGGAAACAAACACUGAUUAACGUGAUUGGGCCUGCUGAGAAUUGCAGUCCGGUUGAAGUGUGUUGAUUG